rnacentral:rRNA from 1 species
GCAUAUCAAUAAGCGGAGGAAAAGAAACCAACAGGGAUUGCCCCAGUAACGGCGAGUGAAGCGGCAACAGCUCAAAUUUGAAAUCUGGCCCCCCGGCCCGAGUUGUAAUUUGGAGAGGAUGCUUCUGGCGCGGCGCCGUCCGAGUUCCUUGGAACAGGACGCCACAGAGGGUGAGAGCCCCGUACGGACGGACGCCUAGCCUCUACGAAGCUCCUUCGACGAGUCGAGUAGUUUGGGAAUGCUGCUCAAAAUGGGAGGUAAAUUUCUUCUAAAGCUAAAUACCGGCCAGAGACCGAUAGCGCACAAGUAGAGUGAUCGAAAGAUGAAAAGCACUUUGAAAAGAGGGUUAAAAAGUACGUGAAAUUGUUGAAAGGGAAGCGCCUGUGACCAGACUUGCGCCUCGCGGACCACCCGGCGUUCUCGCCGGUGCACUCUGCGUGGCGCAGGCCAGCAUCGGUUCUCCCAGGGGGACAAAGGCCGCGGGAACGUAGCUCCUUUGGGAGUGUUAUAGCCCGCGGCGGCAUGCCCCUGGGGGGACCGAGGACCGCGCUUCGGCAAGGAUGCUGGCGUAAUGGUCACCAGCGACCCGUCUUGAAACACGGACCAAGGAGUCAAGCAUUGGGGCGAGUGUAUGGGUGCCAAACCCGCACGCGAAAUGAAAGUAAACGCAGGUGAGAGCUUCGGCGCAUCAUCGACCGAUCCUGAUGUCUUCGGAUGGAUUUGAGUAAGAGCCUUACCGCUUGGACCCGAAAGAUGGUGAACUAUGCCUGAAUAGGGUGAAGCCAGAGGAAACUCUGGUGGAGGCUCGCAGCGGUUCUGACGUGCAAAUCGAUCGUCAAAUUUGGGCAUGGGGGCGAAAGACUAAUCGAACCAUCUAGUAGCUGGUACCGCCGA